rnacentral:tRNA from 2 species
GCCGGCUUAGCUCAGUUGGUAGAGCAACUGAUUUGUAAUCAGUAGGUCGCGGGUUCGAUUCCUGCAGCCGGCACCA